AUUGAACGCUGGCGGCAGGCCUAACACAUGCAAGUCGAACGAGUGGCGGACGGGUGAGUAAUGUCGGGGAAAAAGCCUGAAGGAGGGGGAUAACUACUGGAAACGGUAGCUAAUACCGCAUACCAUCAAAUGUGCCCAGAUGGGAUUAGCUAGGUGGUGGGGUAACGGCUCACCAAGGCGACGAUCCCUAGCUGUUCUGAGAGGAGGACCAGCCACACUGGAACUGAGACACGGUCCAUACUCCUACGUGAGGCAGCAGUGGGGAAUAGUGCACAAUGGGCGAAAGCCUGAUGCAGCCAUGCCGCGUGGAUGAAGAAGGUCUUCGGGUUGUAAAGUACUGUCAGCAGGGAGGCGUUACCCGCAGAAGAAGCCCCGGCUAACUCCGUGCCAGCAGCCGCGGUAAUAC
rnacentral:rRNA from 1 species